rnacentral:rRNA from 1 species
AUUGAACGCUGGCGGCAGGCCUAACACAUGCAAGUCGAACGGUAACAGGAAGAAGCUUGCUUCUUUGCUGACGCGUGGCGGACGGGUGAGUAAUGUCUGGGAAACUGCCUGAUGGAGGGGGAUAACUACUGGAAACGGUAGCUAAUACCGCAUAACGUCGCAAGACCAAAGAGGGGGACCUUCGGGCCCCUUGCCCUCGGAUGUGCCCAGAUGGGAUUAGCUAGUAGGUGGGGUAACGGCUCACCAAGGCGACGAUCCCUAGCUGGUCUGAGAGGAUGACCAGCCACACUGGAACUGAGACACGGUCCAGACUCCUACGGGAGGCAGCAGUGGGGAAUAUUGCACAAUGGGCGCAAGCCUGAUGCAGCCAUGCCGCGUGUAUGAAGAAGGCCUUCGGGUUGUAAAGUACUUUCAGCGGGGAGGAAGGGAGUAAAGUUAAUACCUUGGCUCAUUGACGUUACCCGCAGAAGAAGCACCGGCUAACUCCGUG